rnacentral:rRNA from 1 species
UACAGAGGGUGCGAGCGUUGUCCGGAAUCACUGGGCGUAAAGGGCGCGUAGGUGGCGACCCAAGUCGAUGGUGAAAGCUCGCCGCUCAACGGCGAGUCGGCCACCGAUACUGGGUUGCUGGAGCACUGUAGAGGCUCAUGGAAUUCCGGGUGUAGCGGUGGAAUGCGUAGAGAUCCGGAAGAACACCGGUGGCGAAGGCGGUGAGCUGGGCAGUUGCUGACACUGAGGCGCAACGAGCGUGG